UACGGAGGAUUCAAGCGUUAUCCGGAUUUAUUGGGUUUAAAGGGUGCGCAGGCGGCACGGCAAGCCGGCGGUCAAAUCGCGGGGCUCAACCCCGCCCAGCCGUCGGAACUGCCGGGCUAGAGUGGGCGAGAAGUGCGCGGAAUGCGUGGUGUAGCGGUGAAAUGCAUAGAUAUCACGCAGAACUCCGAUUGCGAAGGCAGCGCACCGGCGCCCUACUGACGCUCAGGCACGAAAGCGUGGGUAUCGAACAGG
rnacentral:rRNA from 1 species